rnacentral:rRNA from 1 species
GAUGAACGCUGGCGGCGUGCCUAAUACAUGCAAGUCGAGCGAACGGACGAGAAGCUUGCUUCUCUGAUGUUAGCGGCGGACGGGUGAGUAACACGUGUAUAACCUACCUAUAAGACUGGUAUAACUUCGGGAAACCGGAGCUAAUACCGGAUGAUAUUUUGAACCGCAUGGUUCAAAAGUGAAAGACGGUCUUGCUGUCACUUAUAGAUGGAUCCGCGCUGCAUUAGCUAGUUGGUAAGGUAACGGCUUACCAAGGCAACGAUGCAUAGCCGACCUGAGAGGGGGAUCGGCCACACUGGAACUGGGCCACGGUCCAGACUCCUACGGGAGGCAGCAGUAGGGAAUCUUCCGCAAUGGGCGAAAGCCUGACGGAGCAACGCCGCGUGAGUGAUGAAGGUCUUCGGAUCGUAAAACUCUGUUAUUAGGGAAGAACAUAUGUGUAAGUAACUGUGCACAUCUUGACGGUACCUAAUCAGAAAGCCACGGCUAACUACGUG